UACGUAGGGGGCAAGCGUUGUCCGGAUUUAUUGGGCGUAAAGAGCGUGUAGGCGGUUUGGUAGGUCCGCUGUGAAAACUCGAGGCUCAACCUCGAGACGCCGGUGGAAACCAUCAGACUAGAGUCCGGAAGAGGAGAGUGGAAUUCCUGGUGUAGCGGUGAAAUGCGCAGAUAUCAGGAAGAACACCCGUGGCGAAGGCGGUUCUCUGGGACGGUACUGACGCUGAGACGCGAAAGCGUGGGGAGCGAACAGG
rnacentral:rRNA from 1 species